UACGGAGGGUGCAAGCAUGAAUCGGAUUUAUUGGGCGUAAAGGGCGCGUAGGCGGUCGUAUAAGUCAGAUGUGAAAUCCCGGGGCUCAACCCCGGAACAGCAUUUGAAACUGUGCGACUAGAGGAUAGGAGGAGAAAACGGAACUCCACAUGUAGCGGUGAAAUGCGUAGAUAUGUGGAAGAACACCGGUGGCGAAGGCGGUUUUCUAUCUUAUUCCUGACGCUGAGGCGCGAAAGCAAGGGGAUCAAACAGG
rnacentral:rRNA from 1 species